GAUGAACGCUAGCGGCAGGCCUAACACAUGCAAGUCGAGGGAGAAGCCCUUUCGGGGGCAGAAACCGGCGCACGGGUGCGUAACGCGUAUGCAACCUACCUUUCACAGGGGGAUAGCCCGAAGAAAUUUGGAUUAAUACCCCAUAAUAUUAUUGGAUGGCAUCAUUUGAUAAUUAAAACUGCGGUGGUGAAAGAUGGGCAUGCGUCCUAUUAGCUAGUUGGAGUGGUAACGGCACCCCAAGGCUACGAUAGGUAGGGGUCCUGAGAGGGAGAUCCCCCACACUGGUACUGAGACAGGGACCAGACUCCUACGGGAGGAAGCAGUGAGGAAUAUUGGUCAAUGGUCGGAAGACUGAACCAGCCAUGCCGCGUGCAGGAAGAAUGCCUUAUGGGUUGUAAACUGCUUUUAUAUGGGAAGAAUAAGGUGUACGUGUACAUUGAUGACGGUACCAUAUGAAUAAGCAUCGGCUAACUCCGUG
rnacentral:rRNA from 1 species